CCUUGAAACACCGGUUCUCGUUCGAUCACCGAAGUUAAGCAUCGUAGAGCCAGGUCAGUACUUAGAUGGGGGACCGCUUGGGAACACCACAUUUU